UACGGGGGGGGGCAAGCGUUGUUCGGAAUUACUGGGCGUAAAGGGUUUGUAGGUGGCCAACUAAGUCAUACGUGAAAUCCCUCAGCUUAACUGGGGAACUGCGUCUGAUACUGGUUGGCUUGAGUGCAGGAGAGGAACGCGGAAUUCCAGGUGUAGCGGUGAAAUGCGUAGAUAUCUGGAGGAACACCGGUGGCGAAGGCGGCGUUCUGGACUGCAACUGACACUGAGGAACGAAAGCCAGGGGAGCAAACGGG
rnacentral:rRNA from 1 species